GUUUUCCUUCUUCCAAACGUAUAUGAUGAAACCUACCCCCAUGUACUCAGUAUUAAGAAGUGGACCUUUGGGAGAUAAUUCAGGUUAAAUGAGAUUAUGAGGGUGGGGCUCUCGUGAUGAAAUUAGUGCCCUCAAAAUAAGAGACCUCAGAGAGCUUACUGUCUCUCUUCUCUCUCUGCUACGUGAGGACACAAUGAGAAGGGAGCCAUCCACAAUGCAAGGAGAGGGCCCUCAUCAGAACA
rnacentral:lncRNA from 10 species